rnacentral:rRNA from 1 species
UACGGAGGAUGCAAGCGUUAUCCGGAUUUAUUGGGCUUAAAGGGUGCGCAGGUUGUUUGAUAAGUCAGUGGUGAAAGUCUGUCGCUUAACGGUAGGAUUGCCAUUGAUACUGUUAGACUUGAAUAUGGAUGAGGUAGGCGGAAUGUGUAGUGUAGCGGUGAAAUGCAUAGAUAUCAGGAGGAACACCGAUGGCGAAGACAGGUCUCUGGGCCACUACUGACGCUGAGAAGCGAAAGCAUGGGGAGCGAA